UGUGUUUAGUCGAGGUUAAUU
rnacentral:misc_RNA from 1 species